AAAAAAAAAUGAUAAAAUUAUCAAAGCAUGCUGACACAUUGCAGCUUAUUAGUCAGCGUACACUUUUUAAUGUUCUGGCAAGAGUCAUAUUACUUGAUUCGCGUCGAGUUCGCAUUUUUUGCCCAAUUGCCAAACGAUACACGGCGAAAUCGGCCUACAAUCGUAUGAUCUCACUCGGCAUUUAUUACGAAUCACAAAUCCGAGCUGUUUACCAAGCACGCGCGCGUCGAGAGAGGACCAGCGUUUCGGUCUCCAGGCACUUGUCACUCGGAACGGAAUGCGUAGACGCAUUUCGAAUCGGCCGAGAGUCGAGAAUUCCAGUCCGCCUAUUUAGAGUAGACCGGGAGAAACGUAUAUAUUUAACGCGCGCAAGAGAAUUUCAGAUAUCUCAUCUUUGUUUCAACGGCAACAGGAAUAUCCGUACAAUUCUACGAAUCAAAUUGCUUAUUGACGAGCGGAUUAAACGUUUUUCGAUGCCGAUUAAUCUCUCACGGUUUUUGACUAGAAGUGGCUUUUGCUUUUCCAUCCACAAAUUAUGCUUUUUAAUUUUGAAUAUUUAACGACGUUCAUUCUGAUGACGUGUAAAGAAGAAUGUAAUAAAAGCAAGUGUUUUUCAGGCGAUUUCGCAAUCGAUGUGUUCAUGUGAGACGAACACAAAGUUGAAGGAUAUGAAACGCUAGACUAGAUCGGACGAACACGCUCUAUUUCCAAACUGGACACGCUCAUCAUAUUGCAUAUACGUUGAAAUUAACAACUCUCUUUAAAGAUGCAUAUACAUAUUACACAAAACUCAUCCAAGACUGUACAAUAGAAUUUACAGUGACAACGACGUUAAAUAUAUUCACAUUUGUUUGCACAUUCAAAAUAAAGGAUCCUCUUUCUCUCUCUUUUCUCGUAUUUUCAUUGCUUGCAUUUUAAAAAUACAAUAUUAUUGCAUUAAUGGCACAUUCUUUGGUUAAUCUGAAGUCUGAUUUUUAUCAGUAAAAAUAUUCAAACAUCAAUCGUCUCUUAAGUAAAUCGCGAUCAAAAAUAGGGUAUUUUUUUUGCGAAUUAAGUUUUACAAAUGCGAAAAUUUUAUCUCCGGCAAAAGCCCGAGACUUUGAAAAAUAUUUAAUGUCAAAGAUUGGAAAAAUAAUAUUUUCUUUGGGAAAGGACUAGAGAUCGACCAAAGGAUUUUCCACUGCAAAUUUAACGACGAAUCGUCCCAGGACACACCGAAACCGAUACGGAGGUUCCGAGCGAAAUUCCUGCAAAUUG